rnacentral:lncRNA from 1 species
UAGUUGCAAUGAUUCGAUUGAACUAGUAAGUUCGGAUAUCUCCGACUUAGCCAAAAUAACAUAAGACUUCUUUGAGUACGCAGCGGAAGUAAUAAGGUUUCUGAUUACAUGUAUGAAGACAUGUACCCAAGAGUUUUUCAAAACAUAUAACAUCGAGACAAAAGAAGAUCCCGCUCGUCACUUCAUCACCAUCGGCUACUGCUCAACCUG